CAGAGAGUACAGACCUGUAUCACUACCAGAGUGUACAGGCCAGAGAGUACAGGCCAGAGAGUACAGACCUGUAUCACUACCAGAGAGUACAGGCCAGAGAGUACAGGCCAGAGAGUACUGACCAGAGAUAGCUGCUAGUCUGAAAUCUAGAACCUGUUAUAUGUUGUACCAUUCCACUCUUUGUACUCUGUGUCAUUGCCAAACAUUUGGAACGACAAGGAGUGGAAUGAUAGCAGAAACAGACUGGUACCCCUGCUAGACAGCUACUGGACACUAUUGAUCUAAUGCAAUAUAUGUACUCCUGUUUAGACAACAACAGUCCAACGUUUUUUUUAUUAAGAUUUCUAAAAGACCAGCAUAUUAAUCAAUAAUUACUAUCUACAGAUGAUUUAUUUGGUGUCUAUUUUAGUGGAUGUUUACGGAUUACCUGUCUCUCUGGGUUGCCAGAGCGGAUUGUGUCACCUUUACCUCCUGCUGUAUAGGAGACCUCUGCCUGUUGCUACCACAGAGUUGCAGGAUCUGGCAACGCAUCUCUCCCAGUUCAUCCUGUGGGAUUCAACCAGGGUCUCCAUGCGCAGGGCCUUUCUCUCACAGCUCCUCCGGGCUUCUCCCACCUCCUCCCUGAUAUCACUGUCUCCAUGCUGGAUCUGACUCAGCUCAUACAGAGCACUGGAGAAGCCCACCUUCAGCUCUGACACCAGGCCCUGGAGCUGGAGGAGGGAGAGAGAGAUGGAAGGGGGAUGGAUGGAUGGAUGGAUGGAUACAUGGAUGGAUGGAUACAUGGAUACAUGGAUGGAUGGAUGGAUGGAUACAUGGAUGGAUGGAAGGAAGGAUGGAUGGAUGGAUACAUGGAUGGAUACAUGGAUGGAUGGAUGGACGGAUGGAUGGAUGGAUGGAUGAACGGAUGGAUGGAUGGAUAUAUUAAUGGAUGGAUGGAUGGAUGGGUGGAUACAUGGAAGGAUGGAUGGAUACAUGGAAGGAUGGAUGGAUACAUGGAUGGAUGGAGGGAUACAUGAAUGGAUGGAU
ensembl:lncRNA